UACAUAUCGAUUUGAUUGAUGAACAACAACAACAACAACAAUAACAAUAAAAAUAAUACCAUAACCACGCAGUAUGUGUAGUUGGAUCACAAUUUGGUGACAUAAAUAUCAAAAAUCUCCAUGUAUUCAUCUAUUUUUACAUUGGAAGCUUUACGACCAUUAUCGUUAUCGUUAUCUUUCGUUUUUUUGUUUUGUUUCACAUACAUUCUUUGAAUUGAUCACACAAGUGGUUUUUGUGAUCGAUCAUAUAUACAUGGCAAAACCACACACACACACAUACACACACAUAAAAGAUAUAUCUAGCCAACGAUCAAAUGGAAUGUGUAUUAUUAUUAUUAUCAUUUUAAAACUACACAUUCUCCCGAUUCGUGAUCCAGUGAUCUAAAUUUACAGUGGCCAAAUAUAAAACAUAUAAAUCCAAUGAAAAUUAAUGUCUUUGGUGGGCUUUUUUUUCCCAUUCAAACUGCCCAUCACAUCAUCAGGAUUUAAUUGGAUAUAAAUUAUUUAUAAUAAUAAUAAUAAAGA